UCCAUCUAUUUUGUGCAUCCGUUAGCGACAUGUGCCUUAAGGUAUCAGAAAAGCCUAGGGGGCCUUAUUUUUUGGGUCUGGGCAUGCUCAAAAUUUGUUCCAUAUCAUGAUUAGUUUGGAGUUUAUUCUUGUGCAUGGAGUAAGCCCUUUGCCAUACAUCCCAGCCAAAGAGAAACCAGAAGCUCUGCUGUCAGAAGAGGAAGACAAAGUGAUGGUGACUGUCCCUGGACUAUAAAAAUUCCCAUAAAACUACUUUAAAGAUGACACAACCCCAUGCAUCCGGACUCACUGGGUCUCCAGGGUUUGGGUCUUCCAGCUGUUAGGCAAGAGGGCUGAGAAGUUGGAUACCUGUAUUCCCUCAGUUUUCCUGUCUUCCUAGUCAUCCUGACAUCACUGAGGUGGACACCAGGCGCUGCUAGAGCCCCCUACAGAAGGACUUGCUGCGGUCAGCUGCAGGGAGUACACAGCCCUCUGCCGUCCCCCCUUUCAGAGAUGGCCUCAGCUGCAGUAGAGCUGCCUUCCCAGGCUGGCUCACCGGGAGUGGGGUGGUGUGAGUGUUGCUCCGGAACUCUGGGGUUGACCGAGGCUGUGUAAGACCUCUCCCUCUCCCCACCCCUGCUCCCUCUCUCCCUUCCACAGAUGUUAGUCCCACCAGCACCACCUCAUAAGCAUUCUGCACCCUGAAGUCCAUCUCAGAGUCUGCUUCCUAGAGAACACACCCAGACAAUGAUUCAGUAAAAAAGAAGCUGUGAACUUGUAUGAGCCUGUUUGUGUCACAAAUGGAUAUAUACUUCCAAACGCAUGGAAUAUUUGCAGAAGCUUACAGAAGAGACUGUUAGCAACAGCUACCUCCAGGAACUAGGACUGGGUUCUUUUAGAGCAGAGAGGUGUUACUUUAUACUCUUUACCAUAAGCAUGAAUUACUUUUUCUUUUAUAAUAAAAAACCCCUCUAAUUUUAUAGAAACAUCAGAUUGCAUUAUACAUAGUUGUCAUAGCUACCAUUUGGGGAACACCUUCGUACAUGUACGUUAGCAUGCAUUCUCUAUUGCUCGAAACAAUGCAGAGAGGUUGGUGUCAUUAUCAUCCCAUUUUACAGAUAAGGGAGCUGAGCUUCAAAGGUGCCAAAUGAUUGGUCCAGAAGCAGCCAUCACCAAGCAGUGAAGCUGGAAUAGACUCAGACUCCAACUCCAACGUUCAGGCUAUUUCUGAACUCAGUCAGGGUGUGUGUCUUUCUGUCAGUUCAAAGGAUGCCUCUGUUCUGAAUGGA